rnacentral:lncRNA from 1 species
GCCAUUUUUGGAUCACUAAGUCAUCUCUGGAAGUCUAUGGAAUGUAAAUUACAUCCUUCUGUUAUCUUACCCAUAUGACAUUAUAAUUUUAUAUGUCAAAAUGGUCAGAUAUCAGCAGUUUCACAUGAGCCAACCUAACAAUAGUCACAAAACUAAACAGACAUAGCCCCCCAAGUACUGAUGAAAAACCACAUUACCAUAUUUAAUGUAGACUCUGUUCAAAUCAGAUUUCAACGCUUACUUCAUCUUCAGAUAUUCACCCCCGCCACCGACAGCUGGUUUUGGCUCAAAUAAAAUAGCCCCCGAAUCCUCCGCGCAGGCACCUAAUCCCGAGCGCCGUGCAAUCAAAUCACUUAAUUUGGAAACAACUGACGCCCCCGGGGGACAAUGCCAUGAGAUGAAUUUAGAAGACUGCUUCGCUAUUAGGUAUUUUUGUUUUGCUCUAAAUAUCCACUUAGAAGUGCAAAUGUGCGCGCGCCAUAAACCGCCCUGCUCUGGAGCGCUCGCGCAUUUAGCUGCAGGGCUCGACACGCAGCAUCUGUGAGAAUUAUGUGUUUUCUGCCAGCAGCGCUUGAGCUAUUUAAGCAGGUGACAGCGUGCACCUAGAAGAACGUAUUCAGGGAAAUGUUCAGCAAAGAUCGUAACGUGAAAUGCCAGGACCAUUUAGACACAAAACGUGGAAGGGGCUCGUGUGGAAACGGGCAGGAUUCUGGGCAAGCUGCCGCGUGAUGAGACGUGUGCAAACAGGAGGGGAUCCACUGCUGACGCGCGCUCUGCACCCGCGGUCCACCCUGGGCCCCGCCAGCCUCUGUCCAUCCUUCCCGCACCCCCGCAGACUCUCCCCGUCGGCCUGGCUGUCCUCCAGCAGGAGCGCCUGGACAGCCCUCCCAAGGCCGGCGCUCCACUCUGCGCGGACCACACGGCCCUGCUUGUGCGGUGCAGCCUUGGCUUAUGCUUGUUGCCCCGGCAUGACUAAUAGUGACUGUGACCCUCGUGAAAGUGGCUCUGUUGGGACACAAAGGGCAUGGUGCCUAAGCCUGGCCCACAGCAGGUCCAGGGCAGCCAGCCUCCUAGGCGUCAGCACACUCUGGGCCUGUUCCCUCCCCACCGGCAGCCUCCGGCAGCUCCUCACCUGGGCAGAUAACCGACACUAUCAUCUGCUAAGACGUCAAGGACCGCGAAGAUGUGGCUAUUCCCCCGAGAGCUCACAGGCUCCUAGGAGUACAGACCUUUCCCCAGCAAUCGGAGUCCCCCAGGAAAAGAAUCUGAUUAGGGAUUCUGGGACUUGGGGAAGUGGAAGCAGACAUUAUUGACCUCUGAGGAGAAUGGGACGUUAUGGGUCCCCAGAGAGAGAAUCACAAAACCCCAAACAGGUUUGGGGAUCUGCCUCAAUCCCACGCUCCAGGGUAGCAGCCGGAUCCAGAGUGGAAUGGCAGCUUGGUGUAUCAAGGAAGAUGGACCAGAGGAAACAUCAAAGGGCUCGCCACGGCCCAGAGAGUCAGAGGGCCAGUGGAUCAAUUCUUCUACGACUGAGUGCAGCCGCAGAGAAAUAGUGUCGCUUGUAAAUAGCGCCACCAGGAUCCCUGUGGCCUGCAUGGCAGAAGAGCAGCAGAAACCCCUGCUAUGGCACAAAGACCUGGACGUUACCAGGGAGAAAAUCAGACCCAGAAGUAGCUUGUGGUGACAACUCAGCAAUGACCGGUGGGGUCCAGAAUCCAUACACAAACAAGGAUUUCUCCACUGAUGCCAUUUGAAGGGGUCCUGUGAUGAUUUUGUAAAAACCAUGCAUCCGGGGACUUAGAAGGUUUCUUGGAACACAUUAAGUGCAUAACUAAUGUCAGCUAUGAUUCUGACCCAGAUAUUUUCACUUCUUCCUCACUGCCUCCCUGAUAGAUAGGGAGGGGGCCCAGGAGGUUUAUGUUCAGAGAGACUAGAGCCCAGAGCACCCAGUACGGAGAACUAAGCAGGGCUCCCAUGGAAGGUGGACCGCCCACCUCCGCUAAUCUCAACGGGUGUCCAAUACUCACUGGAUGCCAUGUAGGGUUUUCUAUAAAACACAGUCUUAUGUAAAGCACUGGACUGAUGCUCUGAGAAUCCAACCUUGGCCCAAAUGGUGGAAAAACAACUAUUUUUCCCCACUACAGGUCACUUCAGCACAUAACACUUCAAUAAGCAGAGAGAAGAUCUCCCACAGCAGAACUUUCUCCUCCCCUUUUAGGAAGAGCACAGCAGCAUUCUUCAGGAAAAGGGGAACUGUUGGUGGAGAAAAGGCACUCCGUGUGCAGCGCCCGGGGCCGAGUGCCUCGGGGCCGAAUGCCUGCGGCUGAGAGGCCGGAAAUGCAUGUCUGGUGGAAAAAUCAGCUUGUUUCUUGGUGAAAGAUCAGAUCUGUGACUUGAAUGCAGAGAAAGGCAGAGGGCAGAGGGCCGUGGGGCAGGCUUUCUGCGGGGAGGAGCCUUGAGGCUUUUGAGGCGGCGAGGGGCUCUCACUGUGCGGGGGGAGGAAUGGGCUGAAAAAUCCAGUGAGUGGGGCUUGGGCUUUUACCAUAAAUAUUUCCCUUCUUUUUCCUAGGAAAAACUUCUUUUAAACAUUAUUUUAUGGAGGUCACGCUGGUUUAUAACCUUGUAUAAAUUUCAGGUGUACAGUGUUACAUUUCAGCUUCUGUACAGACUGUGUCACGUUCACCACCAACAGUCCAGUUUUUAUCCCUCACCAACAUAUGUGCCGCUUUAUCCCUUUCAUCCUCUCCCCAUCCUCUUCCCCUUUGGUACUGACCAAUCUAUUCUCCUUAUCCAUGUGUUUGUUUGUGUGUUUAUCUUCCACGAAUGAGUGAAAUCACACGGUAUCUGACUUUCUCCAUCUGACUUAUUUCACUUAGCUUAAUACUCUCAAAGUCCAUCCAUGUUGUCACAAAUGGCAUGAUUUUGUCUUUUUUCAUGGCUGAGUAGUAUUCCAUUGUGUAUAUAUACCACAUCUUCUUUAUCCAUUCAUCCAUUCAUGGGCACUUGGGUUGCUUCUUAAAAAGAUGAGAAAUAAUAAGUGUUGGAGAGGUUGUGGAGAAAAGCGAACCCUCAUACACUACUGGUGGGAAUGCAAACAGGUGUAGCCACUAUGGAAAACAGUACAGAGAUUUCUCAAAAAAUUAAAAAUAGAAAUACCAUAUGAUCCAGCAAUUCCAUUUCUGGGUAUUUUCCCAAAGAACAUGACGACACUAAUUCAAGAAAGAUACCUGCACCCCUAUGUUCAUCACAGCAUUGUACAGAGUAGCUAAACAUUUCCCUUUUGACGUGGCCUGAGACGGGAUAUUCCUCCACCUCUCAUGCAAUGACAUGCAUCACCUGAGGUCUUGGAUCAGAAUCCAGGACAGCGGCUCACCUUGUUCUCUGCAUGAAUGACGGAUGCAUCCACACUGCUUCCUUUGAGGAGGAAAAUGGAUUGGAGCCUGUGAAACACAGCAGAAUGCGCAUCCUCCUGAGGUGCUGAGCAGGGCCUUAGCCAAGGUGGGCAUGAGAGCAAAGAGCCUGUGUCGCUGUGGGCUCUGCAUUGCCAGUGCCUUUCCCUUCCUCCUCCUGGGGAAUGACAUUCUCUCUGUGGGAAGCCAAUAUUGUAAUUAAAUACCAACACCUGGGGAGGGGCCUCAGUAGCAAGAUUUUAAAUACGGAAGGAGGGCCUCCUGUCUAGAAAACCAAUCCCCACCUGCUCACAACUCCGAAUAAAACAAAGAAGUCUUCAGUCGGGCA